rnacentral:rRNA from 1 species
UACGGAGGGUGCAAACGUUGCUCGGAAUCAUUGGGCGUAAAGCGCACGUAGGCGGUCCAGCAAGUCGGGUGUGAAAGCCCUCGGCUUAACCGGGGAAGUGCAUUCGAAACUACUGGACUUGAAUACUGGAGAGGAUCGCGGAAUUCCCGGUGUAGAGGUGAAAAUUCGUAGAUAUCGGGAGGAACACCAGUGGCGAAGGCGGCGAUCUGGACAGAUAUUGACGCUGAGGUGCGAAAGCGUGGGGAGCAAACAGG